rnacentral:rRNA from 1 species
AAGCAUCUAAGCGGGAAACUAGCCUCAAGAUGAGAUCUCACUGGAACCUUGAGUUCCCUAAAGGGCCGUCGAAGACUACGACGUUGAUAGGUUGGGUGUGUAAGCGCUGUGAGGCGUUGAGCUAACCAAUACUAAUUGCCCGUGAGGCUUGACCAUAUAACACCCAAGCAAUU